rnacentral:tRNA from 2 species
GGCACCGUGCUAGAGUGGUCCAAUAGACGGGUCUGCAAAACCUUGGUUCAUCGGUUCGAAUCCGAUCGGUGCCUCCA